AAGUCGUAACAAGGUUUCCGUAGGUGAACCUGCGGAAGGAUCAUUAACACAAAACUUUCAAUUUAUACUGCGGGUAAUAGCAAAGAACCUACCGUGCCACUGGUCACUAGUCAAUGGUUGGUCCCUUCAUCAAGGAUCUUGAUUUGCUGUUUCGGCUCUUCUUGAUCUGGGAGGGGAACAGGCUAGUGUCUGUGUAUCCGCUUGCGAGGUAACUGUGAGCCGGUAAGGAAUACAGCCUGGACCAUGGCUGGCAAACAUUUUUUUUUUCUUAAACUUUAACGUACGGUCUAUUUGCGGGUUUUGAUUUCAGAUUGAGAGGAUUGAAUUCAUUUCAUUCCUUUCUCUGGUUGAGCUCGUUUGGCUUGGAGCAAUCUAAGACCAUAAAUGAAAAACAACUCUUAACAGCGGAUAUCUCGGUUCUG
rnacentral:misc_RNA from 1 species